CGGCAGCCUCGGCGGUCUGGGCGGGGCGGGAAGCCCGCUUUCAACCCCGCGUACCCUCUGACCCCGGAAGUGCUUGCUGCGCAGGACCCCUUGAAAAAAAAUGAGGACCCGUCUUUUUUAGGUCACAAGAUUGCGCCAACCCUUACAUGGUCCUUAAAAAAAAAACCUUCUGACACUGCAGUAGUGAAAAUGAAGCGCACGAUGGGCGGAAGCUGUGAGUCCGGCAAAGUUUUAAAAUGAUGACGUAUUUUAUUAACUCUAACGGCACUGGCGGGUGACUGAAAAUACUAGUGCUGUGUAUGCGGGAUAGACAUUAUUUUCCUGCCCUACAUGAGGGGCUCGUGCGCGGAACGACAUGGGCAGCCCCGGCGGAAACUGCAGGCACAAGCCGGGACGCCGCGGGUUUAAAACAUGCGCGUGAGGUGACCAGAGCGCGUGCGCGAGGGUGUGGGGGGAUGGGAGGGGCAGCAGCCCUCUUCCGGGGGGGAGGGGCGGCGAGGCGAGGCCUGCGGAGCGGGUGCGCGCGGGCGGGCACGUGGGGCCCUUUCGUCCCCGGCGUCCGGGCGCCCUGCAUGGAUCCCCCACCCCAGCUCCUGCUCCCCGGCGGCGGCCGGUGGGCAGAAAGACCGAAACCCACUCACGGCCGCCUGCCGAAUCGCGGCUCUGCUGUUUGUGGGGCGUGCUAGAAACGUGGUCCUAAAAAGAAUGGCGUCCAUUUACAUAAUGCUUUGUUUGCGUUUCGCAAGUUUCUUUCGGUUAAAGCCACAGAAACCCCACCUCCUGCCCUUGUGUCGUUUCCACCGCGGCACCCUUUUCCGACAUUAGAAACAAUAGUGUACGCCUGUGGAGGCCUCGUUUGUUCAGGGGCUGCCGGCCAGGGCUUCAGGACGUUUCUGCGGCUUUCCCCGCGCGGCCUGGGCUCCCGCGGCUGCUUUUCGGGCCCAUGGGCGCAGCCACUGCGCCAGGCUCAAGGGGGGCGGCCCCGUCAGGGCCCGCCAUCUUGGAAGGCCUUUUUUGCCGGUUCUUCCCGCUGAGGAAGUGUCGCUCAAGACGCUGGCCUAUGAGUUGUGAUUUCUGCCUUUUCCCCUUCCUCCUUGGGCUAAGCCAGACCAGAAAGGGCCCCGUGCGCAACGUGCUUCACAAUCUCUCAGGGAAAGCGGCUAACGUGGCGCUACUCCGCCUCCCCUGUUCCUUACCCUUGGGGCGGCCGCCAUGUUUCCUGAACACAAAAUGGCGACACGUGGUUAGCAUUCGUCGCCAACGAGAAAUUGGGGUCGGCCCGAAAGCUCUAGAAUGCACCCCUCUUCCUCCCCGGGGCCUUCCACCUCCGCGAGUUUUAUGACUUAAAAAAGCCCACAGGCUGGUCUGAAGGUCGGAGGCCUAAUUUUAACGCGUUUUCCUCCCUUUAAUUUGAAACGGGAACGCGAAUGACUGUAAAAUGUGGGCACAAUAUUUAAUCUCUCGCCUUUUUAAAGCUUAAUAGUGGAUAAUAGGGGGGCAGUAUCAAGGGAUAAUUUGGGUCCCCACAGUACCAAAGCAUUUAGAAACCUCUGUUUAAUUUAAGGAAUGAGAUAAGUUACUGCUUUUCUAGACUUCCUAGCAUGGGCUGUUGUGCUGGAGAGAACGAGAGCUACGAAGAGACUACAGUGCCUCUGACUUUUUCAUAGGACAGUUGGCCGAGGAAGACAAACAUAAAGAUGAAGUGCUUAAUUCAAGGUCACACAAUGUCGGGGAUGGACCUCCAGAUUUCCUUACUGACCUGCAUUAUCUUGUGGAUACCUGAGUGAAUUCCACACCACCCAUUUUAUAGAUGAAACCACUGAGACAUGGAGCAAUUGACUGAGUAGUCACUGCCCCACCCCUGCCUGGAGCCUCACACAUGACUCGCCUCCUCUCAGUGACCACAGGAAAACAAGCUCAGGGCUCCCACUGAUUGUACAUUAUGGUGAGACGUGGUCUUGUAACACAGUGGUUAAGAAUGUGACUUUGGAGCCAGCCUGCUAGGGGCUGAAUUCUGACUCAGCCAUUUACUAACUGUGUGACCUUAGGGAGGAGGACCUGGUUGAUAGAAGAAUUUAUCUCGUAGUCUUAACAUCCACUGUAAUUCCAAACUUUGAGGACGAUAGAGAUCAGUGGGCUUUGACUGCCCAGCAUGCAGUCUCCAUUCUUAGGUGGGUUCCCAAGCCUGUAAAAUGUAAGCCUUAUGCUGCUGAGGGCCAUCUUGCCACCCUGAGGGAAACGCUGCCUGAGAAUGAAACAAGCAUAAGUAAAAGCUGAGCUGUGAGAUGGAGCAAGAUGAAGGCCACAUGACAUCUUUGGAGCACCUGGAUCUAACUGUGCCUUAAGCUAGUCUAACCCUGAACAUUUCAUCAUUUCAUUGACAUGAGCCCAGGUUUUCUUUUUUUUUGGAUGGAGUCUUGCUCUGUCGCCCAGGCUGGAGUGCAGUAGCUCAAUCUCGGCUCACUGCAAGCUCCACCUCCCGGGUUCACGCCAUUCUCCUGCCUUAGCCUCCCAAGUAGCUGGGACAACAGGCGCCCACCACCACUCCCAGCUAAUUUUUUGUAUUUUUAGUAGAGACGGGGUUUUACCAUGUUAGCCGGGAUGGUCUUGAUCUCCUGACCUCAUGAUCCGCCCGCCUCGGCCUCCCAAAGUGCUGGGAUUACAGGUGUGAGCCACUGCACCCAGCCCUCAGGUUUUCCCUUUUUUUACCCCUCCUUUUGAAAAUUUGAUGUGGAAUUUUGCCACCUGCAGCCAGAAGAGUUUUAACUAAUCAGUGCCAUAAAUUUUAUAUAGUUCUCCUUGCAAAAUGUGGAUCAGCCUUUCUCAGCAAAUCCUUUGUCAUAAAGUGCUGAAUUGUAAGUUUGUCAUGAGAAUCACAUGAGAUCAUGCAUGUGAAGAACCUGGCAUUAUCCUCCUCAUAGAAAAAAACCAGUAAAUAUUAACUACAGGAAGCAAGGAAGGAGUGGGGUGAGGGGAAGAAGAAGGGGUACUGAUUUAAAAGAACCCUGGAGUCCUAAGGAUAAUCUAGGAACCCUCAGACCCAAUCCGAUACCCCUAUUCUAAAUGCUCCUAGUGCCCUGUACCUUCCCCUCAUAAGCCUUCAUUAUCAUUGUAAUGAUAUGUUUAUGUAAUAUUUUGAUUAAUGUCUCUCCUUCACUGACCUAGCAGUUCUAGCAGGGCAGUGAUUUUGCUGUGUUGCAUCCCCAGCACCUAGUCUGGUAUGUGGCAUUCAGCAUAUGUUUAUUGAAUGAAUGGCCAUGUGGUUAUUCAGAUCCUCCUUGAUUAUUGGGGUUAGGAUUGUGGCAGAAGUGGCAAAAUCAGGGAGAGUAGUCCCUGUCCCCUCUGUAUCUUAUACACUGCCCACACUCCCAACACACAUACACAUACAGAGAAUUUUGUCUCAAUUAGAUAAUUAACUUCUGCUUGGUUGUAAACCAAACCACUGGUUCUUAAACUUUCAUUGGAUCAUUUUAUUGAAGAAUUAAAUAGUGUGGUUCUGGCCUAAUGUCUGGAAAGCCUUGCAGAGGAGUGGAUUAGGUCUUUGUGAUAAACAGGCAGCCUUCCCUGCUCCUGUGUCUUUAUAAAAUCUAUUUAACUGGAGUAGUCCACCCUCCCUCAGGCUCUUACAGGAAUAUGUUGGAGGCUGUAGGAAGGUGGGAAACCGAGAGGGAAAGGACUGGGCCGCUGGAGACUUCACUCAUUCCCUAGCAAGAAACAAAAGCAGUAAAAGGUGGCCCGAGGACAACCUGAAGCUCACUCCUUCAGCACUUUUGGCUGGAGGUCACUUGUUGGAGCCCCACUCAGAGCUCAGCACACCACCCCACCAGCAGCCUCCUCCUCCCAGCUGAGGCUGCAUUUCAUCCCUUCCCCCAGCCUGCUUUCCCUGAGAUAGGGGAGUGUUUCCCAGGGCCCAUGUGACUUCCACUGGCAAGUGACGAUUACCAAUGGUUUACUAGUCAGUGAAACUACCAAAGGCUUUUGUGCUGUAGUAAUCCUUUUCCUGUUUAAAACUCUGGGGAUUUUCUAAUGUUGCCAAUAGUUUUUCAAGUCAGCAAUUACUGUGUGGAUUAUGUAAUGGCUCGGUAUUAAAAAUAGAAAAGACUGGAGUUUGCAUCUAUUUUAACCAAAUCUUGAAAACAGAGCAAAGGGAGGGGAAGGGUGGAGAGGGAGAGACCAGAGGAGGAGGGAGAAAAAGAGAUCAUGUGACUGGAUAAGACAGCUCACAAUUCACUGUGCCUUUCUCCCACCAUUUGUGGCCCAAGGACCUGUACUCCCUCCUCAGCCUCCUCUAGGGAGGGGUCCUUGAUGAGAAUUCUGAGGACACAAGACCCCUUGUGGAUAUUUCUUAGCUCAGCCUUGGUGUGCUUACCUGCUUCUGACAAGCAAAGUGGCCAAGUAGGGGAGGGAGUUGAAUCUGAUGUCCUCCACUAAGUCCAG
rnacentral:lncRNA from 10 species